rnacentral:lncRNA from 1 species
CUUGCAGUGUCCCCACCAACAAGACUAAGAUAUAAUGUAGUCAGUCCUGACAGCGUACAGAUCUCUUGGAAAGCCCCCAAAGGGCAAUUCAGUGGAUAUAAGCUUCUUGUCACUCCAAGUUCAGGUGGGAAAACCAAUCAAUUAGUUCUUCAAAACACUGCAACCAAAGCAAUUAUUCAAGGUCUUAUUCCAGAUCAAAACUAUGCCCUUCAGAUCAUUGCAUUCAGUGAAGACAAGGAGAGUAAGCCAGCACAAGGCCAGUUCAGAAUUAAAGAUAUAGAGAGAAGAAAAGAAACAAGUAAAUCCAAGGUGAAGGAUCCAGAAAAAACAAAUGCGAGUAAACCAGCUCCAGAAGGAAGCCUGUUUACGUGUAAAACUCCAGCAAUUGCAGAUAUUGUGAUACUGGUGGAUGGUUCUUGGAGUAUUGGCAGGUUCAAUUUCAGACUUGUUCGACUGUUCCUGGAAAAUCUGGUUUCUGCUUUCAAUGUGGGAUCUGAGAAAACAAGAGUAGGUCUUGCACAGUACAGUGGUGAUCCCCGAAUUGAAUGGCAUUUGAAUGCCUAUGGCACAAAAGAUGCUGUUUUGGAUGCAGUCCGCAAUUUGCCAUAUAAGGGAGGGAAUACAUUAACAGGUCUUGCCUUAACUUAUAUUUUGGAAAACAGCUUUAAGCCUGAAGCAGGUGCAAGACCUGGAGUAUCUAAAAUUGGUAUACUCAUCACUGAUGGAAAGUCCCAAGAUGAUGUUAUCCCUCCUGCUAAAAACUUACGAGAUGCUGGCAUUGAGCUGUUUGCUAUUGGUGUAAAGAAUGCAGAUAUAAAUGAACUCAAAGAGAUUGCCUCUGAGCCCGACAGCACGCACGUCUACAACGUUGCUGACUUUAACUUCAUGCAUACCAUUGUUGAAGGUCUUACCAGAACAGUGUGCUCACGAGUAGAGGAACAGGAAAAGGAAAUCAAAGGAACAAUUGUUGCUUCACUUGGGGCUCCUUCGGAUUUGGUCACAUCCGAGGUAACAGCUAGAGGAUUCCGGGUUAGCUGGACACAUGCACCAGGAAAAGUUGAAAAAUACAGGGUUGUGUACUAUCCCACUCGAGGAGGACAACCAGAAGAGGUUGUGGUAGAUGGAAGCUUAUCGACAGCAGUGCUGAAAAACCUAAUGUCUUUGACUGAAUACCAGAUAGCUGUGUUUGCAAUAUACUCCAAUGCUGCUAGUGAGGGCCUCCGUGGAACUGAAACUACACUUGCCUUGCCAAUGGCGUCAGAUCUGCAAUUGUAUGAUGUGUCACAGAGCAGCAUGAGAGCAAAGUGGAAUGGAGUGGCGGGUGCCACAGGUUACAUGAUCCUAUAUGCUCCCCUCACGGAAGGACUGGCAGCAGAUGAGAAGGAGAUAAAAAUUGGGGAGGCCUCAACAGAUCUUGAACUGGAUGGACUAUUGCCAAAUACAGAAUAUACAGUCACAGUUUAUGCCAUGUUUGGAGAAGAAGCUAGUGAUCCCCUUACAGGACAAGAAACUACAUUGCCUCUAAGUCCACCAGCAAACUUGAAAUUUUCUGAUGUUGGACACAGUAGUGCUAAGCUAACGUGGGAUCCUGCUUCCAAAAAUGUAAAUGGCUAUCGCAUCAUGUACGUUAAAACAGAUGGAACAGAAACCAAUGAGGUGGAAGUUGGUCGUGUUUCAACCCAUACUCUAAAAAGCCUGACAUCCCUUACAGAGUACACUGUUGCUAUUUUCUCCCUGUAUGAUGAAGGACAAUCUGAACCACUUACUGGCAGCUUUACCACAAGUAAAGUUCCAGCUCCCCAGCAUUUGGAAAUUGAUGAAGCAUCAACAGAUAGUUUUAGGGUCAGCUGGAAGCCCACCUCCUCAGAUAUUGCUUUUUACAGAUUGGCAUGGAUUCCUUUGGACGGGGGGGAUUCUGAAGAGGUAAAUGCAGACAGUCACGUUAUUGAGGGUUUGUUGCCCAACACAGAAUAUGAAGUUUCUUUGCUGGCAGUUUUUGACGAUGAAACGGAAAGUGAAGCUGUUGCUGUUCUUGGAGCUACAUUUGCAGAGACAACCAUGCUACCGACCACUGUGUCUACUACCAGUACCACAACUUCUAAGCCCACCACAGCAGGAAUCAGAAACCUUGUUAUAGACGAUGAAACAACCUCAAGCCUGAGGGUGAUGUGGGACAUUUCAGAUUACAGUGUUCAGCAGUUCAGAGUGACCUAUCUCACUGCGAAAGGAGACCGUGCUGAGGAAGCGGUAAGAAUGGUAAUGGUGCCGGGGAGACAAAAUACUUUUCUGCUUCAGCCUCUGAUGUCUGACACAGAAUACAAAGUUACCAUCACUCCCAUCUACUCUGAUGGGGAAGGAGUCAGUGUCUCAGCUCCUGGCAAAACUUUACCCCUGUCUGCUCCUAGGAAUUUACGUGUGUCAGAUGAAUGGUACAACAGAUUACGCAUCAGUUGGGAUGCCCCGCCAUCACCCACAAUGGGUUACAGAAUUGUCUACAAACCUAUCAACAUUCCUGGUCCUGCAUUGGAGACCUUUGUAGGGGAUGAUAUUAAUACCAUUCUUGUUCUAAAUCUCUUCAGUGGAACGGAGUACAGUGUUAAAGUAUUUGCUUCAUACUCAACAGGCUUCAGUGAUGCCCUAACAGGCGUAGCCAAAACCUUGUACCUGGGUGUGACAAAUUUGGAUUCCUAUCAAGUCCGCAUGACUAGCCUCUGCGCUCAGUGGCAGCUUCACAGACAUGCCACUGCGUACAGGGUUGUUAUAGAGUCGCUUGUGGAUGGGAAGAAGCGAGAGGUAAAUCUUGGUGGAGGGACGCCUAGACAUUGUUUCUUUGAGCUGAUGCCUGGAACUGAAUAUAAAAUCAGUGUUCAUGCACAGCUUCAGGAGAUAGAGGGCCCUGCUGUAAUACCAUUUCCAACUCAACCACCAACAACACCUUCAACACCACCUCCACCACCUACAAUCCCUCCUGCGAAAGAGGUGUGCAAAGCAGCCAAAGCUGACCUAGCGUUCCUGGUGGAUGGGUCAUGGAGUAUUGGAGAUGACAAUUUCAAUAAAAUAAUCAGCUUUCUCUACAGCACUGUUGGAGCUUUGGAUAAGAUUGGUCCUGAUGGAACGCAGGUGGCGAUAAUUCAGUUCAGUGAUGAUCCCAGGACAGAAUUUAAAUUGAAUGCAUAUAAAACAAAAGAGACUCUUCUUGAAGCUAUUCAGCAAAUAGCCUACAAAGGAGGGAAUACAAAAACAGGCAAAGCCAUUAAACAUGCAAGAGAAGUCUUGUUUACGGGAGAGGCGGGCAUGAGGAGGGGCAUUCCGAAGGUUUUGGUUGUCAUUACUGAUGGGCGAUCACAGGACGAUGUGAACAAAGUCUCCAGAGAAAUGCAACUGGAUGGUUUCAGCUUUUUUGCUAUUGGAGUAGCUGAUGCUGACUAUUCGGAGUUAGUUAAUAUUGGCAGCAAACCCAGUGAAAGACAUGUCUUCUUUGUGGAUGACUUUGACGCCUUCACAAAGAUUGAAGAUGAGCUGAUCACUUUUGUUUGUGAAACUGCAUCAGCAACCUGCCCAUUGGUAGUUAAAGAUGGCAACAAUUUUGCAGGAUUUAAAAUGAUGGAAAUGUUUGGUUUGGUUGAAAAGGAGUUUUCAGCUGUGGAAGGGGUUUCAAUGGAACCCGGUACAUUUAAUGUUUACCCAUGCUACAGACUGCACAAGGAUGCCCUGGUAUCCCAGCCUACCAAGUAUUUGCAUCCUGAAGGUCUUCCUUCUGAUUACACCAUUACGUUUCUCUUUCGUAUCCUCCCCGACACACCUCAAGAGCCAUUUGCUCUUUGGGAGAUUUUAAAUGAAGCAUAUGAACCACUGGUUGGAGUUAUUUUAGAUAAUGGUGGCAAAACUCUGACUUUCUUUAACUACGACUACAAAGGAGAUUUUCAAACUGUCACGUUUGAAGGUCCUGAAAUAAGGAAGAUAUUUUAUGGGAGCUUUCAUAAGUUGCAUGUUGUUAUCAGCAAGACUACGGCUAAAAUAAUUAUUGACUGCAAGCAAGUGAGUGAGAAGACCAUUAAUGCAGCAGGGAAUAUCAGUUCUGAUGGCAUAGAAGUGCUGGGGAGGAUGGUCAGAUCCAGAGGACCAAGAGAUAACUCUGCACCACUGCAGUUACAGAUGUUUGACAUUGUUUGUGCUACCUCAUGGGCCAAUCGGGACAAAUGCUGUGAGCUUCCUGGCUUGGGACCAGAUGGACCUCGAGGUGAAAUUGGUGUUCCCGGACCACAAGGACCUCCAGGACCACAAGGACCCAGUGGACUUUCUAUUCAAGGGCUUCCAGUGAGACUUACAAAAUCAAUAGCGUUCUUUCUUUGUUAUGACACUGCUCCUGUUGUUGUCCAGGGUGAUCUCCAGUCCCAAGCAAUGGUGCGUGCUGUUGCUCGGCAAGUGUGUGAGCAACUCAUCCAGGGUCAUAUGGCAAGAUAUAACUCAAUUCUGAACCAGAUUCCAAGCCAGUCUGUCUCAACCCGAACCAUCGCAGGACCCCCUGGUGAGCCAGGUCGGCCAGGGGCUCCAGGGCCACAAGGAGAACAAGGUUCCCCAGGCAUGCAAGGGUUUCCAGGAAGUCCCGGUCAACCAGGAAGACCAGGAGAAAGAGGUUUACCAGGCGAGAAGGGAGAAAAAGGCAAUCCAGGAGUUGGAACACAAGGACCCCGAGGCCCACCAGGAUCUACAGGACCUCCAGGAGAAAGUCGAACUGGCAGCCCGGGACCACCAGGUUCUCCAGGCCCACGAGGUCCCCCCGGCCACACGGGGCCCCCGGGUUCCCAGGGUCCUUCAGGCCCGCCGGGGUACUGCGACCCGUCCUCCUGCGCGGGGGUGGCAUUUCCUAACAGCCAAAAUAAGAUGGAGACUACUGGCCAACCUUGGUAG